rnacentral:rRNA from 1 species
UGGUCGAACAGACCAAGAAAAUGAAAUUCUACACCCAAAUCUUAUCUUAAUUCAACAUCGAGGUCGCAAACUUUAUUCAUCGAUAUGAACUCUCCGAAAAAAUUACGCUGUUAUCCCUAAGGUAAGUUAAACUUAUAAUCAAUAAAUAUUGGAUCAAAAAAAACAUAAAUUAAUGAAAAAGAUAAUUAAAAGUUUAAUAAAUUUUAAUGUCACCCCAACAAAACUAUACAAUUUAAAAAAAUAUUUUAACAACAAAAAACAAAGAAUUAUUAAUACAGUAAACUUCUAUAGGGUCUUCUCGUCCUAUAAAAAAAUUUUAGCUUUUUAACUAAAAAAUUAAAUUAAUAUAAAUUAAAAAAAGAAAGUCUAUUUCUCAUCAAACCAUUCAUUCUAGCCUCCAAUUAAAAGACAAAUGAUUAUGCUACCUUCGUACAGNUAAAAUACCGCAGCCUUUUAAUAUUUCAAAUCAAUGGGCAGGCCUGAUCUU